GAUGAACGCUCGCGGCAGGCCUAACACAUGCAAGUCGAGGGGGAGGUUACUUUCGGGUAACUGAGACCGGCGUACGGGUGCGUAACGCGUAUACAAUCUGCCUUUCACUGGGGGAUAGCCCGAAGAAAUUUGGAUUAAUACCCCAUAGUAUAGUAAUACGGCAUCGUGAUGCUAUUAAAGCUUAGGUGGUGAAAGAUGAGUAUGCGUUCUAUUAGCUAGUUGGAGAGGUAACGGCUCCCCAAGGCGAUGAUAGAUAGGGGUUCUGAGAGGGAUGUCCCCCACACUGGUACUGAGAUACGGACCAGACUCCUACGGGAGGCAGCAGUGAGGAAUAUUGGACAAUGGUCGGAAGACUGAUCCAGCCAUGCCGCGUGCAGGAUGAAGGUCUUAUGGAUUGUAAACUGCUUUUGUAAGGGAAGAAUAAGGGCUACGCGUAGUUUGAUGACGGUACCUUACGAAUAAGCAUCGGCUAACUCCGCG
rnacentral:rRNA from 1 species